rnacentral:rRNA from 1 species
GUUCGUUAAACCCUCCCACCUAGAGGAAGGAGAAGUCGUAACAAGGUUUCCGUAGGUGAACCUGCGGAAGGAUCAUUGAAUCUAUCGUGCCCACACCGCGAAACUACUUAUGCCCUUCUGGAACAGGCAAACUUUAUUGUUUGCCCUUCAGUUGCGCAGGUCAGGGGCUGGCUCYUUUUGGUGUCAGUUGACUUGACUGGGCGGGUCCAAUACCAGCCGGAUUCACCUUGCCUUCUAGGCUUGGGGUUCUGCCGGCUGUGAGGGGUGGCUGUUUAACUCACUUUAAGCAAUCAAUUCUGAAGGCAGAUCUAUAGGCUGGCUAUGCUGGCUGUAGUCUGAUUAAAUAUAGACAACUCUCAACAACGGAUAUCUUGGCUCCCGUAACGAUGAAGAACGCAGCGAAAUGCGAUACGUAGUGUGAAUUGCAGAAUUCCGUGAACCAUCGAAUCUUUGAACGCAAAUUGCGCUCGAGGCCUCGGCCAAGAGCAUGUCUGCCUCAGCGUCGGCUACUACCCUCAACUAAGUUUCCUAUACACAUAGGGGAUGCCGGUUGGAUCUGGCCGUCCGGUUUGCCUUUUAGGUUGCCGGUCAGCUGAAAUACAUUCACGCUCUGGGGGCUGCUUUCCUUCCGAGGAGAGGCGAGUUCCGAUUUGGUAGGUGACCUUUGCCGGUUGCAUGCCUUCGUUGCCCGCUAAGCUUUCCAGUAUGCGUUGUGCAGGACGCCUUUUGGCUUUCGACCUGAGGUCAGGCAAGAACACCCG